CAGGCUCACCCUGAACCAAUCACUCCAAACCUCAGAAGAAGGGAGGUUAGAAAGAACCUGUAAAAUCAGUAGCUGUUACAGCCCACUUGGGAAGUUAACCAACAUUACCAGGCAGUGAAGACAGUGUUGGUGGGGGGUAAAAUCAGGAAGCUGCAAUUGAGGUUCAGGGAAGGAAAACCAUUCUCAGCUGAGGUCGUUAGGAACGCCUUCACAGGAGAGGUAGGAUUUGAGCUGGGCGUUGGGAGACCUAAAGUUUAAAAACGGAGGAAGAAGAAAAUACUGUACUUUCAUUCCUGAUCAUUUUCUAAGGCUCAAGGAAGCUAACAGCCCAGGGGGAUGUAAAGGAUCGUGUUGGUUUUCUUCCCUUUGCCACUGGUUCAGGAUGAGAAGUGUUUUUCUUUGAGCAUCAAGUCCUUCCAGAGACUGACAGAAGGGGGGAGAAUUUGGAUACGAGGACAAAAAUCUCCAACACAGGCGCUCACAUGUAAAGCAGGAGGAAAACGCCGUGCUUCUCCCCAACCUGAGGAACAGCUGUGGCCAUGUGAAGAAGGAUGUCUUUGCUUCCCCUUCCAGCAUGAUUGUAAGUUUCCUGAGGCCUUCCCAGCCAUGCUGAACUAGAAUUUGCUGAACUAAGGAAGAUGCAAGAAGAGAGGCCUUGGUCUUCAGUGGGCAAUCAGCAAGCUGAAGACUUCUACUCAUCUGUUGACAUUCACUGGGGUGGCAUCGGCUCCUGCAAAGACCUCACAAACUGGUUUUAGGCCAACAGGAGACAAAGUUCCCCUUACUAAAAGGGUACAACCCUUGGUUUUCACAGGUGGUCUUUUGUCUACUGACCUUACACUAGAUCAAGUCUUCGCAUUAGGCUAGUUAUCUAUCAUGUCUUAAUAAUACAUUGAAAAAAGCCAUUUCCAUGGAUGAAACUGGAAAACAUCAUUCUCAGUAAACUAUCGCAAGGACAGAAAACCAAACACCGCAUGUUCUCACUCAUAGGUGGGAAUUGAACAAUGAGAACUCAUGGACACAGGAAGGGGAACAUCACACUCCGGGGACUGUUGUGGGGUUGGGGGAGGGGGGAGGGACAGCAUUAGGAGAUAUACCUAAUGCUAAAUGACGAGUUAAUGGGUGCAGGAAAUCAACGUGGCACAUGGAUACAUAUGUAACAAACCUGCACAUUGUGCACAUGUACCCUAAAACCUAAAGUAUAAUAAAAAAAAUAAAAAUAAAUAGAAAAAA